rnacentral:miRNA from 1 species
UGAGAAUGGUGUGUUUUGGUC